AAAGCAGUACAACCAAUGUGUAGUAAAGCAGCCUUUUCCCUCAAAAGGGAAAUGCAACACUUGCAAUAGCAAUGCUAUUAAGAGACAAGCAUUUUGACCCUAUACAUAAAAAUCCAUUGCUUGUGUUCGCAUUAUAGGAAAUGGUCAUGUAAUCCUUCAUAUGAGCUUCUUCAACCAAAAUUUUAGCAUUCUUAAUCCCCCAUUAUACACCUGUAACUGGGGCCAUAGUUCUCCCCAGUUCUUUCAUUUUUCCUCCUAGAGGAGCUUGUACAGCAAACAUCAAAACAUUGAUAUUUUUCUUUUCCUUGUAUGACAAAUUUGACUACAACCACUCCAUUGCAGGAUCAACAUACCCAUCACUCAUUACGGAUGGAAUAGUACGGAAUAGUACUUGUCCCAGAGUGUAGGAGAUCUUGAAAUUUCACUCAUAAGGCUUUUGAAUUUAAGGCUGCAAUCACCUCCACUUAUGUGAUUCAAGGCAGCAAUUGCUCGAAGAGCGCUGCGAAUCAUGUCUUCAUUACGAUCUACUUCUUGCUUGACAGCAUCUUGCUUUGGCUUAAAAUUGAUAGUCUUUUGAAGAGGAUCAACCAAAGAGUCCAGCACUGCCAAAACAGCAGAAGGACAUUUAUCUGCAAGUUUUGAGAGGAUAAGAUGGCAAGGCAUUUUAACAUCAUAAUGAUCAUCAAGACCAGAUUUGAGGUAUGGAACAAUGAAAGAUGAUGGAUUUACUUGAUCAAGACAACUAUCCAACAAUGUGUCUACACAUUCAAAAGCUGCUUUCCUCAACUCAAGUCCAUCAUCCACAAUAUGCUUGAAGGGUCCAAGAUCAACUGUUCGUAUCAAUUCUUUCUUAACCACUGUUUGAUCAUAGAGAAGUGGCAACAAUUCUGGAAGAAGUCCCUUAAUAAGAUUAGGCUUAUUGUGAGCAAAUGUACUUAAUGCUAAUACAGCUGCUCGCCUAACAUGCCGGUCAUGAUCCUUGAUAAGCAGAAGAAAUGAUGAAAUCUCAGGGUAUAUAAUUUCAUCUAUCUUCUCUGGACGCUCAACUAUAGAAUAUUUUACAGCAAUGACUACUGUUGCUCUGGUGAAUGCAGCUGGAUUAGUUGUUCUCACCUUAAGUGCAGGAACAAGUUUUGCAGGUUCUAUGAGUGCAAUUUUCCCUAGGCACUCAGCUACAACAUUUCGCACGCCCUCCUCCUCACUCUCACAGUGAUUAAAAAGCAGUUUAAGUAUCUUCUCAACACUAGAAUCCUGGAACUCUGCUUUAUCCACAGAUUGCCUUACUAUAACCUCCUUCAGAGAAUGAAGAAGUAGAUACUGUUUUUUCUGCUGAUUAUCAAUCUGAUCCAAGAUAAAAGGCAGAUACUUGGAAAGAUUACCAACAGCAAUAUUGCCAAGAGC
rnacentral:misc_RNA from 1 species